CAAGUCGAACGAAUCCCGUGGGGGUAACUCUGCGGGGGAAGUGGCGAAAGGGGCAGUAAAGCGUGGGUAACCUACCCCGGGGAUCGGGAUAGCCGUCCUAACGGACGGGUAAUACCGGGCGAUCUGGCGUGGAGGCAUCUUCGUGCCAGGAGAUGAAUUUCGCCUCGGGAGGGGCUCACGUAGUAUUAGCUUGUUGGUGGGGUAACGGCCCACCAAGGCCAAGAUGCUUAGCGGGUGUGAGAGCACGACCCGCGCCACUGGCACUGAGACACUGGCCAGACUCCUACGGGAGGCUGCAGUCGAGGAUCUUCGGCAAUGGGCGCAAGCCUGACCGAGCGACGCCGCGUGUGCGAUGAAGGCCUUCGGGUUGUAAAGCACUGUCGAGGGGGAGAAAAGCCCGCAAGGGUCUGAUCUAUCCCUGGAGGAAGCACGGGCUAAGUUCGUGCCAGCAGCCGCGGUAAGACGAACCGUGCGAACGUUGUUCGGAUUCACUGGGCUUAAAGGGCGCGUAGGCGGGUUAUCAAGUCGGGGGUGAAAUCUUUCAGCUCAACUGGAAAAGUGCCUUCGAUACUGAUGAUCUUGAGGGAGGUAGGGGCAUGUGGAACUUCCGGUGGAGCGGUGAAAUGCGUAGAUAUCGAAAGGAACGCCGGUGGCGAAAGCGACGUGCUGGACCUCUUCUGACGCUGAGGCGCGAAAGCCAGGGGAGCGAACGGGAUUAGAUACCCCGGUAGUCCUGGCCCUAAACGAUGGGUACUAGGUUGUGGACUUGACAUGGGUUCACAGCCGAAGCCAAAGUGUUAAGUACCCCGCCUGGGGAGUAUGGUCGCAAGGCUGAAACUCAAAGGA
rnacentral:rRNA from 1 species